UUCUUAACCUACCGAGUGAGGCCAGGGAUCGAACCCCUUCCUCAUGGAUCCUUGUCAGGUUCGUAACCCCUGAGCCACGACGGGAACUCCGCAAACCACCCUGUUGUGAUGACCGUCGCUUUGUCGGAAUUACUGAAACUGGGAAGCGUGGAUCCUCCAACUUCUUUGUUUCAACACUGUUUUAGCUUUUCAAGGCCCUUUAUGCUUCUUUCUGAAUUUGAGGAUUGGCUCUUCCGUUGCUGCAGAGCAGACUUCUGGAAUCCUGACCGCGACUGUACUGAACCCGCAGACGGCUUUGGAGGUGACGCCAUCGUCACGGUGUGAAGUCUCCCUGCCCAGGAGCCAAGGAUGUCCUUCCACGCACUCGGAAUUCCUUUCAGCGGUCGUUUGUAGUUUUGCGUCUGCAAGUCUUUCUCCUCCUUGCAGGCACAUGAUCCAGCCAGGGUCAGACUGAACUGCCGACCUACCCGCUGUGCGCCGUGCUUCCAGGUCAGUGGUUCUCCAAGCUUGCCGAGCAGCGUGGGCAGCUCAAGGUGAGCCGGGGGGCGGUAUCCAGCUCCGGGGGGGGGGCUUUCUCUACCUUCCCCUAGGCCUUGAUGUCCUGUGCGUCCUGUCUCCUGACCCUCAGUCAGCUAACAGGCCCAGGUCUCGGCCCCCCUCCCGCCCCGCGACGUCACACACCUCGUGGGGCCAGAUAAAGCCUGUCUCCCUCCCACCCCCGCCCUGGACUGGCAGCGCCCCUGGUCCGGCCCCUCCGCAGGCCCACUGUCUCCGGGGUGUGUGCAGUGCUGACGCCCAGGCCAUCCCAGAAGCUACGCCAGGAGACGCGGGGGGACAGUUGAGGACAGUCGUUGCUGCAGGGGCUGCUCUUCCGGGGAUGAUCCCCUGCCGUCGCCGCUUUUCCCACGACCGAGACGGUUGCUUUGUCCUGUGAAUGCCCGAGACACAGGGCAGAGUGUGUUCACACCACGGGGACCUCAGGACGUGUCUCGAAUCAGAACUUCUGUGUCCACAGGUUUCGUCGUCUCAUCAGAGCGCGUCUGAGACCUGCGAACACUGCUCACUGGGGACAGGAGCACGGAGGCGGGUCCUCCUAGGUCUUUCCACCCCCGCACGCGGUGCAGCCUCACCUCCGCUCGGGCCUCAACUCACCACGCGGUGACGGCACGGAGCCUCCAGAGCUGCCUCAGCCCACGGGACGGCACGGGGCCCAGACGUGCGCCUCCCCCAGCGGCUGCCACCCUCUGCUCUGAGGAGCUCGUCGGCUUCCACGAACCGAAGGCCUCCUCCCUCGACUCCUUUCUCGGGUGGAGGACGGUCACCCUGCAGGACGGCGGUCGCCGCCGCCUCCGCUCCGUUCACUUCGGCGUGAACUACGGCAUCACCAGAGCGGCUCCUCCGGAGCAAGAAGGGGCUGCGACCUGAAGCACUGGAAGCAGGGAUCCGCCGCGGACCCCGGCCCCGAAGGCGCGGCUGUCCAGGCCGCUGUCCACGCCGCCCGGCCUGUCUCUCGGGAGGACGCCACUCUUCGCUCCGUGGGAACUGUCCUUGAAGGCGAAGCCACACCCCGGGUGACGGGCCGGGACCUGCGUGCCCGCCUGCCCCUUAGACACGGUUUCCGUCUCACAGGACGACGUGGCUCAGCUGCUUUGCAACGUCCCUUCCCAGGCUGAGCGCUGAGCCUGCAGGAGAAACGGCAGCUACAGGCUGUUCAACUCCAACUCGACGGCAACAGCCAGGCUGACUCCGCAGGGCCUGCGACCGGAGCCUGUGCCCGGGCACACGCGCUCCCCCUUCCCGCGCUGGAGCCCGGAGCUGGCACUGCUGUCGUCACAGCCGCUCCUUCCGACACUUGUUCCAGCGCGCGAGGCCUCUGGCGAGCUCCGAACAGAGCAGUGCUUGCCUAAGCUUAUCCAAAGGACAAUGAUACUCUGUAUUCAAUUAAAAUUAAUAAAAAUAUUUUAUUGAGUUUCAGGAA